rnacentral:rRNA from 1 species
GAUGAACGCUGACAGAAUGCUUAACACAUGCAAGUCAACUUGAACUUCGGUUUGGGUGGCGGCCGGGUGAGUAACGCGUACAGAACUUGCCUCACAGCUAGGGACAACAUUUGGAAACGAAUGCUAAUACCUGAUAUUAUGAUUAUAUGGCAUCGUAUAAUUAUGAAAGUUAUAUGCGCUGUGAGAGAGCUUUGCGUCCCAUUAGCUAGUUGGAGAGGUAACAGCUCACCAAGGCGAUGAUGGGUAGCCGGCCUGAGAGGGUGAUCGGCCACAAGGGGACUGAGACACGGCCCUUACUCCUACGGGAGGCAAGAGUGGGGAAUAUUAGACAAUGGACCGAGAGUCUGAUCAAGCAAUUCUGUGUGAACGAUGAAGUUUUUCGGAAUGUAAAGUGCUUUCAGUUAGGAAGAAAAAAAUGACGGUACCAACAGAAGAAGUGACGGCUAAAUACGUG